rnacentral:rRNA from 1 species
UACGUAGGGGGCAAGCGUUGUCCGGAUUCAUUGGGCGUAAAGGGUGCGUAGGCGGCGCGGUAAGUCGGGUGUGAAAUCUUGGAGCUUAACUCCGAAACUACAUUCGAUACUGCCGUGCUUGAGGACUGGAGAGGAGACUGGAAUUUACGGUGUAGCGGUGAAAUGCGUAGAUAUUGGGAGGAACACCGGUGGCGAAGGCGGCCCCCUGGACCGGUACUGACGCUGAGGCGCGAAAGCGUGGGGAGCAAACGGG